rnacentral:rRNA from 1 species
UACGUAGGUGGCAAGCGUUGUCCGGAUUUACUGGGCGUAAAGGGCGCGUAGGCGGCCAGCGCAAGUCGGUUGUGAAAUCUCCGGGCUUAACUCGGAAAGGUCAACUGAUACUGCGCGGCUAGAGUGCAGAAGGGGCAACUGGAAUUCUCGGUGUAGCGGUGAAAUGCGUAGAUAUCGAGAGGAACACCUGCGGCGAAGGCGGGUUGCUGGGCUGACACUGACGCUGAGUGCGCGAAAGCCAGGGGAGCGAACGGG